rnacentral:rRNA from 1 species
ACGUAGGGAGCGAGCGUUGUCCGGAAUUACUGGGCGUAAAGGGCGCGUAGGCGGGGGUUUAAGUAAGGUGUGAAAACUUCGGGCUUAACCUGGAGACUGCCCUUUAAACUGGAUCUCUUGAGGGCAGGAGAGGAAAGUGGAAUUCCUAGUGUAGCGGGGAAAGGCGUAGAUAUGAGGAGGAACACCAGUGGCGAAGGCGACUUACGGGAAGGGAACUGACGCUGAGGCGCGAAAGCGUGGGGAGCGAACAG